AAAUGCCAUUAUCACAUAUUGAAGGAUGUCCAUUCUUCAGAGCCACUAUUAUUUCCUGACAAUAAGAGCAUUUGAUAAUCUGAUAAGGGAACUGAGCUAUGUAUUCAAUGAAACUGAGCAGCUGAAUUCUCUUGAGCAGGCAGUUUAGAACUGAGCUAAUGUCUCAAUUGUACAUAGGAUUGCAACCUCCUCAUAAAUCGAUAAUCCCCAUUGAACUCUUAAGACUUACUUAUGAGUAAGCACACAUAGAUUGUAGGUCACAUACAGCCCAAUCUUGCACAUAUAUAUUCAAAAGGAUGUCCCACUAUGUUUAAUGGAACUAACUUUCAAGGAAGUGUGACAGGACUGCAGCCUCAGCUUAUUAAAGUCAACUACUGUAUGAUAAAGACUUGAUAGAUAAUAUUAUCCAUGUGAUUCAGCUCAAUAAAUGAGUCCACUUGUUGGCAGCUACAGCCAUGUAAAGGCAAAAUUAAAUGAAUGAAACUUAACUGCAGCUGAACAAAAUGUAACAGAUAAUCUUUACAGUAUAUACUGACAAUAAACAAUGUAAUUUGUUAUGAUUUGCCACACUAGGACACAAAGGAGCUACUAAAGAACCUUUCUAGACACUUUAUUUUUGGCUACAGUCCUAUGCACUGACAGACAAUAGCAGUUUAACUAAGCCUGCAGCCAUUGAAUAAUCCAUUAGAAACAACUAUGUUAAGUACUCUCGUAUUAAAAUAUAUUAAGUAUGAUUUAUUGGUCCCUGAUGAACAGCUCUAGAGCUUUCAGUAGUUCUGAUGCUGAAGCCAGUGAGCAUGUAAGUUUCCACAACGAAAAGUUUAUUUCACUUCAACUCCUAGGUGUCAAGAUGGACACUUUAAUUAAGAUACCAAUAAUCAAUAUGUGUUCCUUUUCAUUCCAUUUGUCAGUUAUGUACUUCUUUAAAAAAUGGAAAAGGGUAGCACUCAUAGACUGUGUUAAAAUGUGUAUA